GCUUGUCUCAAAGAUUAAGCCAUGCAUGUCUAAGUAUAAACGACUUUAUACUGUGAAACUGCGAAUGGCUCAUUAUAUCAGUUAUAGUUUAUUUGAUGGUCCUUGCUACUUGGAUAACCGUAGUAAUUCUAGAGCUAAUACAUGCAUUAAACCCCGACUUCUGGAAGGGGUGUAUUUAUUAGAUCUAACCAUCAUUUGGUGAAUCAUAGUAACUGAUCGGACCGUGCGUUAGCGCGGUAAAUCGUUCAAGUUUCUGCCCUAUCAGCUUUCGAUGGUAGUGUAUUGGACUACCAUGGCAGUCACGGGUAACGGAGAAUUAGGGUUCGGUUCCGGAGAGGGAGCCUGAGAAACGGCUACCACAUCUAAGGAAGGCAGCAGG
rnacentral:rRNA from 1 species